GCCAGGCAUGGUGGCGCAUGCCUGUAAUCCCAGCUACUGGGGAGGCUGAGACAGGAGAAUUGCUUGAACCCAGGAGGCAGAGGUCGCAGUGAGCUGAGAUCGUGCCACUGCACUCCAGCCUGGGCGACAGAGCAAGACUCUGUCUCAA
rnacentral:SRP_RNA from 2 species